GCGAUAAUAAUAAACUAGGAUAAGAUACCCUAUUAUUAAAAAUGUAAAUUUAAAAAGCUAAACUAGUAUUAGUUAUGUUCUUGAAAAUUAAAGAUUUCGGCGGUAUUUUAGUCUUUUCAGAGGAACCUGUCCUGUAAUCGAUAUUCCACGAUUUAUUAUACUUGUUUUAUUAGUUUGUAUAUCGUCGUCAGUUGAAUAUUUUUAAAGAAUUUGAAUAUUCAAAAUUUAUGAUAAUAAAGAAAAUCAGAUCAAGGUGUAGCUUAUAUUCAAGUAGUGAUGGGUUACAAUAAUUUUAC
rnacentral:rRNA from 1 species